GAUGAACGCUGGCGGCGUGCCUAAUACAUGCAAGUCGAGCGAAUGGAUUAAGAGCUUGCUCUUAUGAAGUUAGCGGCGGACGGGUGAGUAACACGUGGGUAACCUGCCCAUAAGACUGGGAUAACUCCGGGAAACCGGGGCUAAUACCGGAUAACAUUUUGAACCGCAUGGUUCGAAAUUGAAAGGCGGCUUCGGCUGUCACUUAUGGAUGGACCCGCGUCGCAUUAGCUAGUUGGGGAGGUAACGGCUCACCAAGGCAACGAUGCGUAGCCGAACUGAGAGGGUGAUCGGCCACACUGGGACUGAGACACGGCCCAGACUCCUACGGGAGGCAGCAGUAGGGAAUCUUCCGCAAUGGACGAAGGUCUGACGGAGCAACGCCGCGUGAGUGAUGAAGGCUUUCGGGUCGUAAAACUCUGUUGUUAGGGAAGAACAAGUGCUAGUUGAAUAAGCUGGCACCUUGACGGUACCUAACCAGAAAGCCACGGCUAACUACGUGCCAGCCGCCGCGGUAA
rnacentral:rRNA from 1 species